rnacentral:rRNA from 1 species
AACGAACGCUGGCGGCAUGCCUAACACAUGCAAGUCGAACGAGACCUCCGGGUCUAGUGGCGCACGGGUGCGUAACGCGUGGGAACCUGCCCUUAGGUUCGGUAUAACUCCCCGUAAGGGGUGUUAAUACCGGUUAAUGUCUUAGGACCAAUGAUUUAUUGCUGCUGGAUGGGCGUGGGUUGGUUUAGUUGGUUGGUAGGGUAAAAGCCUACUAAGGGGACGAUGCAUGGCUGGUCGGGGAGGAAGGCCAGCCAGACUGGGACUGAGGCACGGCCCACACUCCGGCGGGAGGCGGCAGUAGGGAAUAAUAGACAGUGGGCGCAAGCCUGAGCCAGGCAGGGCGCGGGAGUGCGGAGUGCGUGAGGGAAGUAAAGCUCUUUUGCCCGGAAUGAUAAGUACAGGUCCGGGAGAAUAAGCUACGGCUAACUUCGGU